AAACCCUAAAUUUAUAAAAAAUGAGACAUUAUAACACCCUGACUUGGCCUCAGAAUGCAGGAAAUCCAAUUUCCAAAGACCUCAGUUUUAAAAAUAUUCCGGGGGAAGAUGCCCCUGGACACCCCUACAGGGGACCACUUUCAAUGGUCUGUAUCUUGAGCCCCUUUCUCCGCCUUGGGUUGCUUUCUUUGAUAAACUUUACAAGUUAUUAUUUUUCUUGUCUAAGCUUUUGCAAUGCUGCUUCAUCCUAUAAAAUAUGCUAGGCAAAUAGAGCUAUUGUUUAAUGUUCACACAAUAUUUCUACUCCUUAAAAUAUCAUGUAGGUUCCAGAAAUUAGAGAGAAACUUGUGAAAGAAAACCAGGGCAAAUGGGAUAAGAUUGCUAAAUAUCAGAAGAAAGCUUUCUUUUCGCCUACAGCAGAGGACAUUAAAAAACAAGCUAAAAUGUGGGCAGACACAUAUAAUUUGGAUAUGCUUGAGGAACUUGUAAAUGAACCUCCAAAAUGUGCCAUGUGUGGCCAACCAGCAACUAAGCGAUGCUCAAGAUGUCAAACAGAGUGGUACUGUAAAAGGGAAUGCCAAGUCAAACACUGGAGUAAACACAAGCCUACUUGCAAUCUGAUAGUGGAAUCUAAAACAUAAUGAUACAAUCACCCGGUUGUUAGAUGUUUACAAAUUUUGGUUGAAAGGUUGCCCAUAUUUGCCAGAGUGUACCCAGUGGAAUAUCAAAGUGACUCAGAGGCACAAAGGAUUUUGAGGGGUACAAAGAGGGGUGGCAAAAAGUUGUUGAGGUGUCUGGGUAUUCAAGGUUUCUGUAGUCAUAGCUUCAUUUGCACUUCUGUGUCUCUUUUUACCUUGACUUCCCCUCCUGGUUGGGGGUGUGGCAGCCUGUUAAUGUGUUGUUCCAGAAAAUGUCCAUACCCCUAGAGGAGGGUAGAGGGUUUUUGGAUUGACCCACCCCCUCCCUAUCCCUCUGGAAAUACCAGUUUUGGUUAAUAGUUUCCCUUAAGAAUUUUGGCUUUUGAGGCCCCCCUCCCCUGUGGAAUUCCCAAAAGCCUUUUUUCAGGGUGAUUUUGGAUAUUUUCUGGAACCUCACAAAACAGCAAUGUCUUAUCAUGUCCAUGAUGUGAUGUUAUUGGAUGAGAACUGGUUGAAUAGGCUGUUCUCGAUAUAUUAAAACUUCAGCUUGGCAGUGAGGCCUAGAGGAUGCAAACAAAGGGAAUUGAAUGACCAUGUUUAUUCAUUUCUUUUGUUUGCGUCCUCUUGAACACAAACAAGCUGAAUUUUAAUAUGUCAAAAGUGACCUAUUUGCAGAUUAGAAUUAUUGUCAGUAAAUAUUUAUUUUAACCUUGUACAUUAGCUAAAUAUUCCUAGAAUUAAGAAAGGAGGAAGUCAGGAACUCAAAUGCUAUUUAAAGAGCAAAAUAUCAGAAAACUGUAAGCACUAGAAUUGUUUUGGGAAUUGUUAUUGUGCUGUGAGGGAAACCAAUCGUGCCUGUGGUAAAGACACAAA